UGGCUAAUCAAUAUCACAAACCAUGGCACCAUCCCCGGAAGCACGCUGGCACUGUAGACGUAGACAAACACACGCUGCGGAUUGGGAAUGAUGUAGUUCAGGCAUGAGCCAAUUAGCAGAAUAGCAAUAGAUACUGCCACACCCGCAACCGGUACGCCGUGACGGGAAACUUUCGCCAUUGCCGCCGGUAACUGACGGUUUUUCGCCAGUGCAUAGA
rnacentral:misc_RNA from 1 species